CAGGAAGAUGUGAAGUUGAUGCAUGACAUGGGCCUGGAUGCCUACAGAUUCUCUGUCUCCUGGAGCAGAGUCAUUCCUAAUGGUAGAGGGCCAGUUAAUCCAGAAGGGGUGCAGUAUUAUAAUAACUUGAUCAAUGAACUCAAGAAAUAUGGAAUUGAACCUCAUGUCACUCUUCUUCACUUUGACCUCCCCCCCCC